UCCCUGGUGGCUCAGCCAGUAAAGAAUCUGCCUGCAAUGCAGGCAAUCCAGGUUCGAUCCCUGGGUUGGGAC
rnacentral:tRNA from 1 species